AUGAAAGAUGCAGUCUCUAAUGCAGAUGAUGUCUUGGAUGAAUUUGAUUAUAUGCUUUUAAAAGAAAUGGCUGAGCAAAAAGACCUUCUCAGACGCAUAGCCUCCUCUUCCUUCACUACUGUCAAGCGUUUGGUCAAUAUUGACAAGUUUAGGUCAGAACUGCGGAAGGUCCUCAAAAGCUUGGAGAGAGUUAGAACUUCUGCAGAGAUGUUUGUCCGAGUGAUGACACUGGAGAGCGAUAAACCCAUUCAGUCUCUUCAGUGUGUCCCAACAAGAACCACUGGGUCCUUUUUGUAUGAAGAUGCCAUUUUUGGGCGAGAAAAGGAGAUACGUGAGCUCGUGGGUCAGCUCGUGUAUAAAUCUGAUGAAUGUUCACUAAGCAAUGAGCAAAAGUUUAGGACUGGGGUGCACAGUAUUGUUGGUGUUGGUGGGAUCGGCAAGACUACUCUGGCUCAGCUGGUCUAUAAGGAUGAGCGCAUCGUGGAUUCUUUUGAUGUCAGAAUGUGGGUUAGUGUUUCCGGUAACUUCGACAAAACUAGAGUUAUCAAAGAGAUCAUAGCAUACAGAACUGAUGGUGAGAGUGCUGAAUUGGCCAAUUUUAAUUUCAGCUGGCUCCAGUCAGAACUUCAAUGGAGACUUAGUUCCAAGAGGUUUCUCUUAGUGUUGGAUGAUGUGUGGUACGAUGAGAAACAUGGAGAACACAUCAACAAACAAAUGUGGAUGGAAAUAAUUGCUCCUAUUAAGGAAAGUUCUGUAAUAUCUGGAAGUAAGGUUCUAGUGACAACCCGGACAGAAUUGGUUGCAAAAAUGCUGGACUCUAGAAGCUUGUUCACUUUACAAGGUUUGAAAGGAGAUGAUAGUUGGUUACUGUUCAGACAGUGUGCAUUUGGCAGCAGUAAGCCAGAAGGUUAUCCAGAGUUGAAGCAGUUAGGAUACCAAAUUGUUCAGAAACUUAAAGGCUCACCUCUAGCACUAAAGGUUAUCAGAGGACAUUAA
rnacentral:rRNA from 1 species